AGAAUCAACGCUGGCGGCGUGCCUAACACAUGCAAGUCGCACGAGAAAGGGGAGCAAUCCCUGAGUACAGUGGCGCACGGGUGAGUAACACGUGAAUCAUCUACCUCCGAGUGGGGAAUAACUGAGAGAAAUCUUAGCUAAUACCGCAUAACACUUACGAGUCAAAGCAGCAAUGCGCUUGGAGAGGAGUUCGCGGCAGAUUAGUUAGUUGGCGGGGUAAUGGCCCACCAAGACGAUGAUCUGUAUCCGGCCUGAGAGGGCGCACGGACACACUGGAACUGAAACACGGUCCAGACUCCUACGGGAGGCAGCAGUGGGGAAUUUUGCGCAAUGGGGGAAACCCUGACGCAGCAACGCCGCGUGGAGGAUGAAGCCCCUUGGGGUGUAAACUCCUUUCGAUCGGGAAGAUAAUGACGGUACCGAUAUAAGAAGCCCGGCUAACUUCGUGCCAGCAGCCGCGGUA
rnacentral:rRNA from 1 species